rnacentral:rRNA from 1 species
AACGCGAAGAUCCUUACCUGCGCCUUGACAUCUGUCGAAUCCUGCAGAGAUGCGGGAGUGCCUUCGGGAACGAUAAUGACAGGUGCUGCAUGGCUGUCGUCAGCUCGUGUCGUGAGAUGUUGGGUUAAGUCCCGCAACGAGCGCAACCCUUGCCCUUAGUUGCCAUCAUUAAGUUGGGAACUCUAAGGGGACCGCCGGUGACAGACCGGAGGAAGGUGGGGAUGACGUCAAGUCAUCAUGGCCUUUAUGGCCAGGGCUACACACGUGCUACAAUGGUCGGUACAAAGGGUUGCCAACCCGCGAGGGGGAGCCAAUCUCAGAAAGCCGAUCGUAGUCCGGAUUGCAGUCUGCAACUCGACUGCAUGAAGUCGGAAUCGCUAGUAAUCGUGAAUCAGCGAUGUCACGGUGAAUACGUUCCCGGGUCUUGUACACACCG